CAGAGGCCACAUACCAUGGACUUAGGGCUCAUAUUGGUUUUCUUUGUCCUUAUUUUAAAAGGUAUCCAGUCUGAAGUGCAGUUGUUGGAGUCUGGUGGAGGCUUAGUGCAGCCUGGAAAAUCCCUGAAACUCUCCUGUGCAGCCUCUGGAUUCACCCUCAGUAGUUACCCAAUGAACUGGGUCCGCCAGGCUCCAGGAAAGGGGUUGGAAUGGGUUUCAUACAUUAGAAGUGAUAUAUACUAUACCGACGCUGUGAAGGGCCGGUUCACAAUCUCCAGAGACAAUGCCAAGAACACUCUGUACCUGGAAAUGAACAUUCUGAGGUCAGAGGACACAGCCAUGUAUUACUGUACAAGAGACACAGUGAGUGAAUGCUACUGUGAGCUCAGACACAAACCUCCCUGUAAGGAACACUGGACCAGCAGGAGGCGCUGA